rnacentral:lncRNA from 1 species
GAUGCCAGACUGAUGGACUCAUGAACCAUCCCUUUGCAGGUGGUGGGCCUCAAGCUGGGGUUCGUUUGAGCCCCUGGCAGCAUCAGUGACACACAAAAUGUCGGCAGGAGGCAACCAUGGAUGUCCUGCGGCUCAUCUCUCUGCUGGCUGUCUAGAGACUGUAGUGCUUCACGCACAAUGAGGGCUGUAUGCAGGCUGUGGAGAGCAGGAGUGCCCGGCCUGCCCAUUGUUCAUACAGAUUCCCCCUGAUGGAUCCUAGCCUGACAGUGACCUCACAUCAUGCUAGCCAG